CCUACGGGAGACAGCAGUGGGGAAUAUUGGGCAAUGGGCGCAAGCCUGACCCAGCAACGCCGCGUGAAGGAAGAAGGCUUUCGGGUUGUAAACUUCUUUUGGCAGGGACGAAGCAAGUGACGGGACCAGACGAAUAAGCGACGGCUAACUACGUGCCAGCAGCCGCGGUAAGACGGAGGGGGCAAGCGUUAUCCGGAUUUACGGGGUGUAAAGGGCGUGGAGGCGGGACUGCAAGUCAGAUGGGAAAACCACGGGCUCAACCUGUGGCCUGCCUUUGAAACUGUCGUUCUUGCGUACUGGGGCGGCAGCCGGAAUUCCUAUUGUAGCGGUGAAAUGCGUAGAUAUUAGGCGGACCACCAGUGGCGCAGGCGGCUUACUGGACUGUAUCUGCCGUUGUGGCUCGCCAGCGUGGGGAGCAAACAGGAUUAGCUCCCCUAGUAGUC
rnacentral:rRNA from 1 species